CUCCGUAGCUAGACAGCAAACCGGCUCCGUAUGCGCGAAGUUCCCCGUUUUGUUUGCACAACCCAAAUUCGACAGUGAACCAAUACAUCUACGUCGCAAACAAAAACAAAUUCAUAGGAGCGUGUUUAUGUAUCAAAUCGCAAUAUUAUAUGGGCUUACGGUUCCGGAGAGUGAUACGGAGAGGAAGAAUGACGAAUGUAUCUGGUAUAAAAUAAAUAAAUGAUAAUUAAAAUUGA